rnacentral:lncRNA from 1 species
CAGUAGCACAGGUGGCUAGAGAACUGGAGGGACAUCCAUUCGGGAAUGUGUUCCAGGGAGGUAGAAGAGAGACUGGGGCGUGAGAAUGCACGUGUACUUGGGCACAUAUACAUGCAUGUGCACACUCACACAUGCUUGCAACGUUGUCUGGUUCAGAUUCUUUUAAUGGCCUUGUCUCUAUGGUUUCUCUAAUCAGCAGUCCAACUGAGUGCUCAUUCAACAUCAACUCUGUGCCCAGUAGAGGAGGCAAGGCAUAGAAAACAACUGGAGAUGAAUCAACAGCUGCAUCAGGUUCAGCAGACAUUCAGCUGUAUCUCGCCCUACCCUGGGUGGGGCAGGCAUCCCACUGGUUCUCGCAGGUUGGAUGUCUACAAGCCUCCAGGGAAUGAACAAAUAACAAAGGAAAUGGCUGACAAAGGGAAAAUUAUGAUGUGAGAAUUUCACUAAAGAAUUUAGCCCACUUUACUCUGUUCGCAAAGGCCCUGGAAUUGGCCCCGAACUGGGGUUUAGGGAAUCUAUCAUUUGUUCCCACGGUGUCCUUAUUAGCCAGGCAACCUGGGCAGAGUUUAAACCUCAAGGAUCUUCCUGUUCUCAUCUGUCAAAUUGGGCUAAUGAUGUCAAUCCACCCCACGAGUCUUUCUACUGUCGGUGUCCCAGUGCUGCGAUUCAAACCUGACCUUCGGAGAUGGAUUGACAGAACGUGUGGAGGCAGAGAAUGCAGGCACGAUGUCUCCAGGGCAACUCCUGGAGUCGCAACGGCCUGGCCGUGGCUCACUGCAGUGCCUUGGGAACAGACACAAUACACUCCAAGUCCAAGGCUGGUUCCUGCACUUCCACUGGAGGUGAGUCCACAGCAUGGGGACGGGAGCAGGCUGGCGUUGCCAGUCGGUGUAAUGGAUCAUUCUGAUCUGAGCUUUCAGCAUUCCUGCCUCUCCCCCAGCUGGUGGGAGGAAGCACAGAGGAAAUGGUCUGCCUAGGCUUUCCAAAACCUUGGAGAAAACAACCACACUCAAGAAUUACAAAGAGGACAAGGGCCCAUGUUCCUGCAGUCACCAAGCCAGUGUCCUUGGUAGCACUAGAAAAUUAUUGAUUGAUGCUGGGGUUUAGAGGACCUGAAUUCGUCUGCUCAGAGGGUCAGGUUUGGGGCCAAGGCCUGCAAGCUGGUGUGUGGGAGAAAAAAGAGGAAGACGUUUCUUCCAUUGUUCUGGACUAGGGCAUCGUCAAUUCCAAGGACAGAAGAACAGACCAGCAUUAAAGGCAGAUACCAUUCUUUUCACAACCCUGGGAAGCUUUGGAAAUACCGGCCUUUGAAACAAAGCCAGGCCAGUCAUUUUGGACAUUUCUCUGUAAGGGGAGGUUGACCU